UACGUAGGGUGCGAGCGUUAAUCGGAAUUACUGGGCGUAAAGCGUGCGCAGGUGGUUCGCUAAGACAGAUGUGAAAGCCCCGGGCUCAACCUGGGAACUGCGCUUGUGACUGGCGGGCUAGAGUGCGGAAGAGGGAGGUGGAAUUCCACGUGUAGCAGUGAAAUGCGUAGAGAUGUGGAGGAACACCGAUGGCGAAGGCAGCCUCCUGGUCUAGCACUGACGCUCAUGCACGAAAGCGUGGGGAGCAAACAGG
rnacentral:rRNA from 1 species